GAUGAACGCUGGCGGCGUGCCUAAUACAUGCAAGUCGAGCGAACAGACGAGGAGCUUGCUCCUUUGACGUUAGCGGCGGACGGGUGAGUAACACGUGGAUAAGCUACCUAUAAGACUGGGAUAACUUCGGGAAACCGGAGCUAAUACCGGAUAAUAUUUCGAACCGCAUGGUUCGAUAGUGAAAGAUGGGUCUGCUAUCACUUAUAGAUGGACCUGCGCCGUAUUAGCUAGUUGGUAAGGUAACGGCUUACAAAGGCAACGAUACGUAGCCGACCUGAGAGGGUGAUCGGCCACACUGGAACUGAGACACGGUCAAAACUCCUACGGGAGGCAGCAGUAGGGAAUCUUCCGCAAUGGGCGAAAGCCUGACGGAGCAACGCCGCGUGAGUGAUGAAGGUCUUCGGAUCGUAAAACUCUGUUAUUAGGGAAGAACAAACGUGUAAGUAACUGUGCACGUCUUGACGGUACCUAAUCAGAAAGCCACGGCUAACUACGUGCCAGCCGCCGCUGUAA
rnacentral:rRNA from 1 species